rnacentral:misc_RNA from 1 species
UGUUAUUCUAACAAGAGAAUACAAACUGAAUUAAUAUUAACUCAUGUUUUUAGGCCCAGUCCAAGGUACCAAUGUAGAGUUAUGACAUCAUGAACUGCUUGUAUAACCUCAUCAGAUAGAUGACCAACAGUGACAGAUACAUGGUGGAAAAGUGGCUUGUAAAGAUAAUUACUUUAUAGCAAAGAAAUUACAAUUGACCAAGCGCAUUCAAUCUUGUAGCUUGACAACUUCUAUUCUAUGAUCCUCUUAUUUCCUACUCCAAAAUUAAUCCAUUAGUGGGAUAUCUACUCUAUAAAAACAAAGAACAGCAACCACUCACACACAACCAAAUGUAUAUACAGGACUACAGAAGACUUCUAAGUAGACCGUGAACAUCAAAGUUUGAGCAUAUCAAAUACCUAUAAGAUUUUUGUUUAAGUAACUCCUUACAAUUGAAUUUUA